GGAUCAUUAUAGAGUUAUACAACUCCUAACCCUUUGUGAAUUUACCAUUGUUGCCUCGGUAGGGGCUGCACCAUGUAGCCACCGCCGGUGGACUUUUUUAAAACUAUUGUUAUUUAAUGGAAAUCUGAGAGUCUUAUCAAAUAAGUCAAAACUUUCAACAACGGAUCUCUUGGUUCUGGCAUCGAUGAAGAACGCAGCGAAAUGCGAUAAGUAAUGUGAAUUGCAGAAUUCAGUGAAUCAUCGAAUCUUUGAACGCACAUUGCGCCCAUUAGUAUUCUAGUGGGCAUGCCUGUUCGAGCGUCAUUUCAACCCUUAAGCCUCGCUUAGUGUUGGGACCCUACUUACCCUGUAGCUCCCGAAAUUUAUUGGCGGAGCUGUAGUAGUCUCUGAGCGCAGUAGUUUACAUCUCGCUUCUGUGGCUAUUGCAGCCCUCGCCGUAAAACUCAUUUUUUCAUGUGGUUGACCUCGGAUCAGGUAGGAAUACCCGCUGAACUUAAGCAUAUCAAUAAGCGGAGGAAAAGAAACCAACAGGGAUUGCCCUAGUAACGGCGAGUGAAGCGGCAGCAGCUCAAAUUUGAAAUCUGGCCUAGCCCGAAUUGUAAUUUGUAGAGGAUGCUUUUGGUGCGGCGCCUUCCGAGUUCCCUGGAACGGGACGCCUUAGAGGGUGAGAGCCCCGUACGGUUGGACGCCUAGCCUCUGUAAAGCUCCUUCGACGAGUCGAGUAGUUUGGGAAUGCUGCUCAAAAUGGGAGGUAAAUUUCUUCUAAAGCUAAAUACCGGCCAGAGACCGAUAGCGCACAAGUAGAGUGAUCGAAAGAUGAAAAGCACUUUGAAAAGAGGGUUAAAUAGCACGUGAAAUUGUUGAAAGGGAAGCGUUUAUGACCAGACUUUUUCUAAGCGGAUCAUCCGGUGUUUUCACCGGUGCACUUCGUUUAGUUGAGGCCAGCAUCGGUUUCUGUAGGGGGACAAAAGCUUAGGGAACGUGGCUCUUCGGAGUGUUAUACGCCCUUUGUAAUACCUUUACGGAGACCGAGGU
rnacentral:rRNA from 1 species